rnacentral:rRNA from 1 species
UAGCUAGUUGGUGAGGUAAAGGCUUACCAAGGCGACGAUCUGUAGCGGGUCUGAGAGGAUGAUCCGCCACACUGGAACUGAGACACGGUCCAGACUCCUACGGGAGGCAGCAGUGGGGAAUUUUGGACAAUGGGGGCAACCCUGAUCCAGCCAUGCCGCGUGAGUGAAGAAGGCCUUCGGGUUGUAAAGCUCUUUCGGCCGGGAAGAAAUCGCAUGGGCCAAUACCCUGUGUGGAUGACGGUACCGGAAUAAGAAGCACCGGCUAACUACGUGCCAGCAGCCGCGGUAAUACGUAGGGUGCGAGCGUUAAUCGGAAUUACUGGGCGUAAAGCGUGCGCAGGCGGUUUUGUAAGACAGGCGUGAAAUCCCCGGGCUUAACCUGGGAACUGCGUUUGUGACUGCAAGGCUAGAGUACGGCAGAGGGGGGUGGAAUUCCACGUGUAGCAGUGAAAUGCGUAGAGAUGUGGAGGAACACCAAUGGCGAAGGCAGCCCCCUGGGUCGAUACUGACGCUCAUGCACGAAAGCGUGGGUAGCAAACAGGAUUAGAUACCCUGGUAGUCCACGCCCUAAACUAUGUCAACUAGGUGUUGGGUGGGUAAAACCAUUUAGUACCGUAGCUAACGCGUGAAGUUGACCGCCUGGGGAGUACGGCCGCAAGGUUAAAACUCAAAGGAAUUGACGGGGACCCGCACAAGCGGUGGAUGAUGUGGAUUAAUUCGAUGCAACGCGAAAAACCUUACCUACCCUUGACAUGCCAGGAACUUGCCAGAGAUGGCUUGGUGCCCGAAAGGGAGCCUGGACACAGGUGCUGCAUGGCUGUCGUCAGCUCGUGUCGUGAGAUGUUGGGUUAAGUCCCGCAACGAGCGCAACCCUUGUCGUUAAUUGCCAUCAUUUGGUUGGGCACUUUAACGAGACUGCCGGUGACAAACCGGAGGAAGGUGGGGAUGACGUCAAGUCCUCAUGGCCCUUAUGGGUAGGGCUUCACACGUCAUACAAUGGUUGGUACAAAGGGUUGCCAAGCCGCGAGGCGGAGCCAAUCCCAGAAAGCCGAUCGUAGUCCGGAUUGCAGGCUGCAACUCGCCUGCAUGAAGUCGGAAUCGCUAGUAAUCGUGGAUCAGCAUGUCACGGUGAAUACGUUCCCGGGUCUUGUACACACCGCCCGUCACACCAUGGGAGCGGGUUCCGCCAGAAGUAGGUAGCCUAACCGCAAGGGGGGCGCUUACCACGGCGGGGUUCGUGACUGGGGUGAAGUCGUAACAAGGUAGCCGUAGGGGAACCUGCGGCUG